GAUGAACGCUGGCGGCGUGCCUAAUACAUGCAAGUCGAGCGAACAGACGAGGAGCUUGCUCCUCUGACGUUAGCGGCGGACGGGUGAGUAACACGUGGAUAACCUACCUAUAAGACUGGGAUAACUUCGGGAAACCGGAGCUAAUACCGGAUAAUAUAUUGAACCGCAUGGUUCAAUAGUGAAAGACGGUUUUGCUGUCACUUAUAGAUGGAUCCGCGCCGCAUUAGCUAGUUGGUAAGGUAACGGCUUACCAAGGCAACGAUGCGUAGCCGACCUGAGAGGGUGAUCGGCCACACGGGAACUGAAACACGGUCCAGACUCCUACGGGAGGCAGCAGUAGGGAAUCUUCCGCAAUGGGCGAAAGCCUGACGGAGCAACGCCGCGUGAGUGAUGAAGGCCUUCGGAUCGUAAAACUCUGUUAUUAGGGAAGAACAAAUGUGUAAGUAACUAUGCACGUCUUGACGGUACCUAAUCAGAAAGCCACGGCUAACUACGUG
rnacentral:rRNA from 1 species